GUUCUGGAGAAGAAGAUUUUUAAAGAUUUUUACUACAUAUUUCAAUGUAAAACUUGGAUUCCCUAUUGUGGCCCCGCCCUACCCCCAGGGGGGUCAUGAUUUGAACAAACUUGAAUGUACACUACCUGAGGAUGCUUCCACAUGAGUUUCAUCUUUUCUGGCCCUAUGGUUCUUGAGAAGAAGAUUUUUAAAUAUUUUUCCUAUGUAUUCCUAUGUAAAACUUUGAUCAGCCAUUGUGGCCCCACCCUAUCCCAGGGGGUCAUGAUUUGAACAAACUUGAAUCUACACUACCUGAGGAUGCUUCCAUAUAAAUAUGACCAAUCAUGGCUUUGCUGUUCUUGAGA